CCUACGGGUGGCAGCAGUGAGGAAUAUUGGUCAAUGGACGCAAGUCUGAACCAGCCAUGCCGCGUGCAGGAAGACGGCUCUGUGUGUUGUAAACCGCUUUUGUAAGGGGGCAAACGCUGAGACGCGUAUCCGGCUGAGAGUACCGUACGAACAAGCAUCGGCUAACUCCGUGCCAGCAGCCGCGGUAAUACGGAGGAUGCAAGCGUUAUCCGGAUUUAUUGGGUUUAAAGGGUGCGUAGGCGGUCGGGUAAGUUAGAGGUGAAAUCCCGAGGCUCAACUUCGGAAUUGCCUUUGAUACUGGUAGGCUCGAGAGUAGUUGCGGUAGGCGGAAUGUAUGGUGUAGCGGUGAAAUGCUUAGAGAUCAUACAGAACUCCGAUUGCGAAGGCAGCAUGCCGGCGCCCGACUGACGCUGAGGCACGAAAGCGUGGGGAUCGAACAGGAUUAGAUACCCUUGUAGUC
rnacentral:rRNA from 1 species